rnacentral:misc_RNA from 1 species
GAUGAAGAACGCAGCAAAAUGCGAUACUUGGUGUGAAUUGCAGAAUCCCGUGAACCAUCGAGUUUUUGAACGCAAGUUGCGCCCGAAGCCAUUAGGCCGAGGGCACGCCUGCCUGGGCGUCACACGUCGUUGCCCCCCCAUCUACUCCUUCGGGAUUGCGGGGGGCGGAUGAUGGCCUCCCGUGCGCCUCGUCGCGCGGUUGGCAUAAAUGCCAAGUCCUCGGCGACACACGCCACGACAAUCGGUGGUUGCGAAACCUCGGUUGCCCGUCGUGUGCGGUCGUCGCGCAUCGAGGGCUCGAAAAAAUUGCCGGGCUCCGGCUCGGCUUUCAACGCGACCCCAGGUCAGGCGGGGUUACCCGCUGAAUUUAAGCAUAUCAAUAAGCGGAGGA